rnacentral:SRP_RNA from 1 species
GCUGGGCGUGGUGGCGCGCGCCUGUAAUCCCAGCUACUAGGGAGGCUGAGGCAGGAGAAUUGCUUGAACCCGGGAGGCAGAGGUUGCAGUGAGCCAAGAUGGUGCCACUGCACUCCAGCCAGGGUGACAAAAGCGAAAUUCCUUCUCAAAAAAAAAAAAAAAAAAAAUCAAAACAGCCUUUUUUUUUGUUUUUGUUUUUGAGAUGGAGUCUUGCUCCUUCACCUGGCUGGAAUGCAGUGGUGUGAUCUCAGCUCACUGCAACCUCCGCCUCCCGGGUUCAAGCAAUUCUCCUGCCUCAG